UAGGUCAAUGUGGGUCCUUGAGAGGCUAUUUAGCCAAGCAUGGUAUGAUUAGAAUCGGUUUGAGGUCCGUGGAUGGAUCUAAAUGUGAAUGUGGGCUCUAUAUCAGGCCGGAUGUGCUCAUCUCAGCAUAUCGUUGUUUUCAGAAGGGUCUUCGGGCCUUGGAUGUUAUUUCUGUCGUCAACUAUUCCGUGUAAUCUAUAUUAUACCAGAUGGGUUGUAAGGUGGUUUGAUUAUUCCUACUCGUAUUGAGAUCUCGUAUAGUUUGUGAUAUUAUGUAAGCAGGAUGGCUCUCGAGAUGCAAACCAUAUAUUGCACCUUAGUCGUGCUUGAGUUUGAUAGCGUAUGACGCUACCCGUCUCCCCAGGAUUUGUAUUAUGCGCUUGGCGUGCUUAUGGUUGAUAUACGGACAUUUCGUGAGUAUAAGCGUUACGGCUCGAUGUGUGUUUUCCUUAGAUUAUUUUGUGUGGAUCGGGUGGUACGCCACCACGGAUAUGUUGAUUGGAUCGGGUGGUACACCGCCACGGGUAUCAUGGUUGGAUCGGGUUGCACACCGCAACAAUGUGUUAUUGAGUACAGUUUCCCAUAUCUAUUAUUGCGUGUUUUGCUUCUUAUUUCCUCAGGAAGGUUCAUAACAUCCUUUCGGUUGUUUAAUCAGCUACGUGAGUUGAGUAACUCUUUCCAGAGUUCGUUUUCCUUAUGUACCACAUUCGAGUUUAUGGAUUUUGGCACAUGGUGGUAUCAUAUGAGAUCUUUGGUAGUGUUUGUGGUGACUUAUUGCUGGAACGACUUGUACUGGGUGAGAUGAGAUUUUGGGACCUGGGGUCAGUGCGAUCAGAUUUAUAUGAAGCAUACUAAAGAGUAAAUAUUGUUAUUCAGUCCAGAAUGAGGUAAUAGUUCUUGUCGGGAGGAGAGACUCCAUAAAUUGUAAUUCAGCAGGUGGCUAUGAGUUUUACACAUCCUCUCUGUCGUGGAAGUAUUGCGAUAGUUUAAGCAAGGCUUAAUUGGUCAUGAGGUACACUACGGGCUUCGGUCAGUGGAAAUUUUAGCUGAUAUGCUUUGGAAAGAUUGCCUUGGGCAAGUGAGUUACGUGGUGCAUGGUAAGAAUUCAGUGAGUGUAUACAAUCAUGUAUUGGUACGUCGUGUGGUGAUUGAAACGGUGUUUGUAUGUUGGAAGUAGGCCUAGUAGAGAAUUUCGGGCAUUGGAAUUUGGCCCUAAGGCUUAUUUGCCUAAAUAAAGGGGAGGAUCUUCAGAUUUGCUCGAGCUAAUAUGCUUAGCUGGGUUGUGGUAGCACGGGCAGGUGCACGAGGUGUUAAACAGUGAUCUCAUACAACUCCAGAAUAGUUCUUAGCACGUUCGAGGACGAACAUAUGUUUAAGUGGGAGAGAAUGUAACGACCCGACCGGUCGUUUUGAGCCCUAGCGCGUCACUCAGCAGUUUGAGGCCUUGGGUAGCUUCACUUCAGGUAUUACGACUUGUGCGCGUGAUCGGAAUUGAANNNNNNNNNNNNNNNNNNNNNNNNNGACGAUUCGUGCGUUGCUAUCGCACUGUGUUUGUGUAAUGGAAGAAGGCUUGUCUAUGCGUCGAAGCAGUAAAUGACUUGGAAGGAGGUUUACUCAGUGCAUGAUUCAGAGAUCCAGUAUUUUAUUUCCGACGAAGGAAAGGCAAUCGGACUAGGAAUGUUUAGAUUUGGGUUGAUGGAAUAACGAGAUUUGGUAUUUUCGAGCGUGGUAAAAUUUUUAUCAAUAAUUUGGUGUCGUCGCCCUUGAUUGAAUGUGUUAAGUUCGCCGGUGUUAUGGUCUUCAGGGCAGGGUAUUGUGAAAUAGUGCCGGGGAAGCGGCUGUCAGAGAUCGCAGUGUGCGGUGGUUUAGGAUUGAAUCGGUAUCCCGGGUGUUGAGGGCUCAAGGAAGAUGAUCUCUGGGAGGUUUAAAGUUAGUGGCGAUCUAUUGGUUCAAGUGCUACAGAGAUAGAUAUUGAUUUAAGGCAACAAUUGGGUAGCGAAGGAUGAGGAAGGACAUGUGGGAGGUGUCUCGCGAUGGUUAAACUUCUAGAAGGCCAAGUGUGAGAAACAUGAGUCGAGUAGUUGCUUAAAGGAGAGGGUUUGACCAAAGUGGGAGAGUGACGGAGUAUCAGAUGGGUUCUGUAGUAGGAUAGCUAUACGCCUUUGGGAAGGUUUGGAGUGAUUGGUAUUCAUGUUGGACAGUGACUAGGUCUACGGGCUUAAUUUGGAAUAUUGGCUGCUAUAUUGAGGAAGAUUGGGUGUGACGGGAAGGGGUAGCUUAAUAUGAAAAAGGAUACAAUAUGACUUUGGAUUGGAAUGUAUUGCCGCAUAUUUAGUUGAUGCCAAUGGGGAGUGAACGGGCUUGUAUGGCUGGUGAAUGAGCACGGGCUCAGGAUGGUUUGUUGGCUUCGUGGUAAUUGUACUCGGUGCAGCGUUGUUGGAGGAUGUCGUCCUGGAAUUUCCACAUAUGGGAUAUCUCCAGUGAGCAGGUUAGCGGUUGUGUGGUAUUGAUGAAUCUUCUACGAAGAAUUUUACUGGUUAUCCAGUAAGAGGUCGAAUAUGUGAAUAUGGCUAGUGAUUCAGAAUAUUCAUGAAAUGUUUAACAUAAGUAUUUCGAGGAAAUUUGGCGGGUUGAUUAUGCAAAAUCAUGUCAAUAGGAGAUAAGGAAUCUUGGUGGGUUCCAGGGUUAUGCAAUGGUAUCUUCAGGCUAAGUGGAAGAGCCCCACUGUCUACGAUUAGACUGUGUAAUUGUCAACUAGUGCGGUUUCUGGUUAUCAGUAUUGAUGGGUCACCAUGACUAAGGGAAGAGAACAUCAGCGGUAAUUUGAGCAAAGGAUUUGAGGAAUGGAAGAAAAUAACUUCGGGUUCACAGAGGGGUUUUCAGAAUGGGUGUACCCGUUGAAUAUGCGAAUAUGCACACAAGGAUAGUAUGAGAUGGUUCGUGGGUUUUGGGGAUAAUGUGAUCUCGUGAAAUGGGGUCACUCAGGACGAGUGCAGAUUGAGUUUGUUAUAUUGAUAAAGGAGUCAUUGUUAUUUCUAAGGAAGAUCCAAAGUAAAUUAGGAGAAUUCGGGUUCGGUUAUGAAGCUACCCGAGGCCUCAAACUGCUGAGUGACGCGCUAGGGCUCAAAACGACCGGUCAGGUCGUUACAUUCUCUCCCACUUAAAUAUACGUUCGUCCUCGAACGUACUAAGAACUAUUCUGGAGUUGUCUUAGAUCAAUGUUUUACACCCCGUGCAUCUGCCCGUGCUACCACAACCUAGCUGAGCACAUUAACUCGAGCAGAUCUGAAGAUUCUCCCCUUUAUUUAGGCAAAUAAGCAUUAGGGCUAAAUUCCAACGUCCGAAAUUCUCUACUAGGCAUGCUUCCAACAUACAAACACCGUUUCAAUCACCACAUGACGUACCAAUACAUGAUUGUAUACUCUCACUUAAUUGUUACCAUGCACCAUGUAACUCACUUGCCCAAGGCAAUCUUUCCAAAGCAUAUCAGCUAAAAUUUUCACUGGCCGAAGCCCGUAGUGUACCUCAUGACCAAUUAAGCCUUGCUUAAACUCUCGCAAUACUUCCACGACAGAGAGGAUGUGUAAAACUCAUAGCCACCUGCCGAAUUACAAUUUAUGGAGUCUCUCCUCACGAUAAGAACCAUGACCUCAUUUUGGACUGAAUAACAAUAUUUACUCUUUAGUAUGCUUCAUAUAAAUCUGAUCGCACUGACCCGAGGUCCCAAAUUCUCGUCUCACCCAGUACAAGUCGUUCCGGCAAUAAGUCACCACAAACACUACCAAAGGUCUCAUAUGAUACCACCAUCUGCCAAAAUCCAUAAACUCGAAUAUGGUACAUAAGGAAAAUGAACUAUGGAAAGAGUUACUCAACUCACGUAGCUAAUUAAACAACCGAAAGGAUGUUAUGAAAUUUCCUUAGGAAAUGAGAAGCAAAACACGCAAUAAUAGAUGCGGGAAACUGUACUCAAUAACACAUUAUUGUGGCGUGCAACCCGAUCCACACAUGAUACCGUUGCAGCGUGCAACCCGAUCCAACCAUGAUACCCGUGGCGGCGUACCACCCGAUCCAAUCAAUAUCUCCGUGGCGGCGUACCACCCGAUCCACACAUAAUAAUCUAAGGAAAACACACAUCGAGCCGUAACGCUUAUACUCACGAAUUGCCCGAAUAUCAACCAUAAGCAUGCCAAGCACAUAAUACAAAUCCUGGGGAGACGGGUAGCAUCAUACGCUAUCAAACUCAAGCACGACUAAGAUACGAUAUAUGAUCUGCAUCUCGAGAGCCAUCCUGCUCACAUAAUACCACGAACUAUACGGGAUCUUAAUACGAGUGUGAAUUAUCAAACCACCUGGUAUAAUAUAGAUUACACGGAAUAGUUGACGACAGAAAUAACAUCCAAGGCCCGAAGAGCCUUCCGAAAACAACGCUAUGCUGAGAUGAGCACAUCCGGCAUGAUAUAGAGCCCACCUUCAUAUUUAGAUCCAUCCACGGACCUCAAACCGAUUCUGAUCAUACCAUGCUUGGCUAAAUAGCCUCUCAAGGACCCACACUGACCUAUUCACUACACAUAAGAACAGUCGUCAAAUCCGGAACAAACUUCCACAGUCCACAAUCAAACGAACCGAGCUCCCUUCAAACAUAAAUUUUCACAUUAGCGAUAGUACCACAAUCUUCAUACUUGGUUUUAAAUCUUUAAUCAAUCCAGUGACUACAUGUCACACUUAUACAAUCUUCCCGUAGGAUACACCCCCACGACCUUUCACACCAGGUAACAAAUAUGCACCUCCAUACUGCCGGCCACUCUAAUGCUGUAAUGAAAAUCAAGAAUCCGCAACUCAGUACACAGAGCCUCUUACACAGGACACCGAUCUCAGGUGACGUUAAAAACAAUACUAGCUUACUCUAAACAUUUGAAUUAUUCCAUGCUCAUCCGAGCCCUUGACAUUCUUGUCGACCUCAACUGCAACCUUGAUCCUCAACCUCCAAUUCCCAUGUCGUUCACUGCACCUAACAUACCAGUACGCAAGAGUACACAAAUUUCAUAAUAACUCCCGAACCACCAAUAGGGUACAUAUUUCAUCAUAUAGAAACCUUCUACUUAGCACAUUCCAUAAGAACCAAUGCAACACGUAACUAAAUUCUCAAACCGCAGCAAAAUACAAACCUCGAGCAGUGGUCUAAACCAUCAUAAUUCUUCCAGGUUUCAUCUACACAUAGCAGGCCAUAAUACUCGAAUGCCCCCAAAUAAAAUAAAUUACGGCGGUCGUCAAGCCUCGCACGUACCGCCACAAAUCACAUGUAUAACUCAACACGCUGAAGGAGCAAGCCUUAAGUUGGAAGAAUUUACUAAGGUUUGAUUUUUUGAGUACAUGACCUCAGAAUCGGGACUGGAAGGUUCCAACAGGUUCGUAUGAUGAUUUUGUACUUGGACGUAUAUCCGGAUCAGGUUUUGGAUGGCCCGGGAGCAUUUCGGCGCCUAUUGUGGAAGUUGGCAUUUUGGAAGGAUUUCGUAAAUUUGGGUUGGACUGUAUUUCAAUGCUAUCGAUGUCCGUUUGGGAUUCUGAGUCUGGAAAUAGCCCCGUAUGGUAAUUCUGGUAUUGGGAGCGCGUCCGGAAGUGGAUUUGGAGGUCCGUACGUCAUUUCGGCGUCAUUUGGCGAAAGUUAGAAAUUUGAAGUUUUUUUUGGAGAGUUUGAUCGGGAGUGACUUUUUGAUAUCGGGGUCGGAUUCUGAUUUCGGUUGUUGGAGUAGGUCCGUAAUGUCAAUUAUGACUUGUAUGCAAAAGUUGAGGUCAAUCGGACGUGAUUUGAUAGGUUUCGGCAUCGAAGGUAGAAGUUUGAAGCUUCAAAGUUCAUUAGGUUUGAAUUGGAGGGUGAUUCAUAGUUUCGAUAUUGUUUGAUGUGAUUUGAAGGCUCGACUGAGUUCGUAAUGUGUUUUGGGAUGUGUUGGUAUAAUUGGUUGAGGUCCCGAGGGCCUCGGGUAGAAUCCAGAUAGUAAAUGGAUCGAGUUGGGACUUGGAAGAAGGGCUGAGGGCUACUGUCAUCUGGUGUAACCGCACCUGCGAGGUUUCGGCCGCAGGUGCGGAGGGCGCAGAAGCGACAUAGGAGCCGCAGAAGCGGAGCAGGUCGCCCAGAUGAAGGACCGCAAGUGCAGAGUUUUGGCCGCAUCUACGCAAGCGCAGAAGUGAAGGGUUGAGCGCAAGAGCGAAAGAAGGCGCAGAAGCGGAAGGGGUCUCACACCUGCGAAUCCGCAUGUGCGGAAAUGGCGCUGGGCAGAAUGGUUUUAAGAGCGAGAUUUAGCUCUUCUUCUAUCAUUUCUCACUUGGUUGGGGCGAUAUUGGAGAGCUCCAAAGGGAGAUUUUCAUCAAGCAACCCAUGGUAAGUGAUUCCCACUUAUUAUAAGUUAAAUACAUGGAUUGUAUGAGGAUUUAAGCAUGAAAAUUAGUAGAAAUUGUGGGGUUUUGGUAGAAAACCUAAAAUUUGAUAUUUUUGGAUUUUGACCACGAAUUUGGGCAUUUAAUUGGAAAUAAAUUAUAUAUUUGAGUUCAUGGGAUUAUGGGUAAAGUUUACCUUCGAAAUCCGGGCAUGUGGGCCCGAGGGUGCUUUAAUCGACUUUUCGAGCGGAGUUGAAAAUUAUUAUAAAUUGAUUAAUUAUGAGUAUUAGAGCAUAUUUUGAUUGGGUUAUAUCUUAUUUGACUAGUUUUGGAGCGACGGGGCAUCAAUUUGAGUUGUUGGAGCGGCUUUGGAGCCGGUUAUGGAAUUGCGGAGCGAGGUAAGUCUCAUGUCUAACCUUGUAAGAGGAAAUUAGCCCCAUAGGUGAAUUGAUUAAAUAUGUGCUUCUACUUGUGAGGGCUACGUACGCACGAAGUGACGAGAGUCCGUACAUAGCUACUAGCUAUGCCUAUGUCCGGGUAGUUUUAGGUUUACAUCGUGCCUUGUUGAUAUUGUUAUUUGAUUUGUGGUUACUAUUUGCCUUGAAAAGAAGCAAGAUUUAGGUUUGCGUAUUAAUUGUCUUGAGAAGAAUUUAAAUUGAGGAAAUUAAGUUUUCAAAAAGUUUUCAUUUGGAUUUCGUAUUUUCGAAAAGAAAUUUAGGAAUAUUAUAAUAACUUAAUAAAUUUAUAUUUGACCGCGUCGCAUGUAUGAUCCGCGAGCAGAGUAAAAGCUUCAAGUCGAAUUGUCUUUAUUUUGAAAAGAAUCAAGAAAAGGAUUAUGACUUACUGAUAAUUUAUAUUUGACCGUGUCGCAUGUAUGAUCCGCGAGCGGGGUAAUAGAUGCAUGAUUUAUUGAUAAAUUUAUAUUUGACCGCGUCGCAUGUAUGAUCCGCGAGCGGGGUAAUAGAUGCAUCUAUGGUUCGUGCCGUUCGACCCUCGGCAGUGCACAUUUUACAUUUAUAAGUUGGAUCUAGCCGUAAGACCUUGGCAUGACUUGCGCAUGAUUGUAUUAAUUGCUUUGGAAAUUAUAAUAAUUGAUACUACUUCAUUGGCCUGAGAUAUAAAUCGUUAAAUGAUGAAAUUGAAUUUGGAGAAAUUUCUUAUUAACAAAAGAAUUGUUUACUUAUUUCAUGAUAUUGGGCUUAUAGUCGUUAUACGUGAUCCAUGCUUAAUUAUAUCAUUAGUAUAUUAAUUAUAGCCCAUAGUAAGUGUCUGAGUCGACCCCUCGUCACUACUUCUUCGAGGUUAGGCGGAAUACUUACUAGGUACGCGUUGAUUUACGUACUCAUACUACACUUGCUGCAUAAUUUUUUUUGUGCAGGUAUUUAUAUGUCUAGAGGCCUGGUAGGCGCAGAGGCGCGGUUAUUGCCGGGGCUUAGGUGAGCUGCACUCUCUACUACGAUCCUCAACCAGCAGAGUCUCUUUUAGAGUAUUUUUAUUUUUCCUGUCCAAAUUUAUAUUCCGGACAAAUGUUGUAUUUCAUUUUACUUCCUGGUUGAUGCUCAUGUACUUGUGACAUCGGAUUUUGGGGUGAUUAUGGGUUGUCCCGUAUUGAAAUUUGUUGAAAACAUUAUUAGUUAUCUUGUAAAUUCUAUCUCUUAUUAUUUAAUUGAAGGAAAAAUAUGAUUUCAAAAAUAUUAAAAA
rnacentral:lncRNA from 1 species